rnacentral:rRNA from 1 species
AGCAGCCGCGGUAAUUCCAGCUCCAAUAGCGUAUAUUAAAGUUGCUGCAGUUAAAAAGUUCGUAGUUGAAUUUCGGGACCAAUAUGUCGGUCGUGCCUCGGUACGCACUGGCUUAUUGGUUUCUACCUUCUGAAGAACCUCGAUGUCAUUAAUUUGGUGUCUUGGGGAAUCAGGACUGUUACUUUGAAAAAAUUAGAGUGUUUAAAGCAGGCUCGCGCUUGAAUACAUUAGCAUGGAAUAAUGAAAUAGGACGUUUGAUUCUAUUUUGUUGGUUUCUAGGAUCGACGUAAUGAUUAAUAGGGAUAGUUGGGGGCAUUAGUAUUCAAUUGUCAGAGGUGAAAUUCUUGGAUUUAUUGAAGACUAACUACUGCGAAAGCAUUUGCCAAGGAUGUUUUCAUUAAUCAAGAACGAAAGUUAGGGGAUCGAAGACGAUCAGAUACCGUCGUAGUCUUAACCAUAAACCUAUGCCGACUAGGGAUCGGAUGAUGUUAAUUUUUAAUGACUCAUUCGGCGCCUUACG